CCCUUAGACACUCUAGGCGGCACGCGCGCUACAAUGGGUGGAAGACAGUGUUAUUGCUUCUGACAAGAGGGGUUAAUCACGAAUUCUAACCCGUGAGUGGGAUAGUUUGUUGCAAUUUUCGGACUUGAACUAGGAAUCCCUUGUAAACAUACUAAAGUAUAGUGUGUUGAAUACGUCCCUGCCGUUUGUACACACCGCCCGUCGUUUCUUCCGACUGAUACUCAUUGUGAGUUGCAAGGAUUCUUAAAUGGAGAAGUGCGACAAAUACUUUGUAUUGGAGGAAGAAAAAGUCGUAACA
rnacentral:rRNA from 1 species